GCAAGCGUUAUCCGGAUUUAUUAGGUUUAAAGGGUCCGCAGGCGGAAUAUUAAGUCAGUGGUGAAAGCCUACAGCUCAACUGUAGAACUGCCAUUGAAACUGUUAUUCUUGAGUAUGGAUGAAGUGGGCGGAAUAUGUCAUGUAGCGGUGAAAUGCAUAGAUAUGACAUGGAACACCAAUUGCGAAGGCAGCUCACUAAACCAUUACUGACGCUCAUGGACGAAAGCGUGGGGAGCGAACAGGAUUAGAUACCCUGGUAGUCCACGCCGUAAACGAUGAUCACUAGAUGUUGGCGAUAUAAUGUCAGCGUUCAAGAGAAAUCGAUAAGUGAUCCACCUGGGGAGUACGUUCGCAAGAAUGAAACUCAAAGGAAUUGACGGGGGCCCGCACAAGCGGAGGAGCAUGUGGUUUAAUUCGAUGAUACGCGAGGAACCUUACCAAGGCUUAAAUGUAAUAUGACCGGUUGAGAGAUCAACCUUUUUUCGAACAGAUUACAAGGUGCUGCAUGGUUGUCGUCAGCUCGUGCCGUGAGGUGUCGGGUUAAGUCCCAUAACGAGCGCAACCCCUAUUUUUAGUUACCAGCGAGUAAUGUCGGGAACUCUAGAAAAACUGCCUGUGCAAACAGAGAGGAAGGUGGGGAUGACGUCAAAUCAUCACGGCCCUUAUGUCUUGGGCUACACACGUGCUACAAUGGUUACUACAAUGUGAUGCCAUCUGGUGACAGAGAGCUAAUCAAUAAAGGUAAUCUCAGUUCGGAUCGGAGUCUGCAACUCGACUCUGUGAAGUUGGAUUCGCUAGUAAUCGUAUAUCAGCCAUGAUACGGUGAAUACGUUCCCGGGCCUUGUACACACCGCCCGUCAAGCCAUGGAAGUUUGGGGUACCUGAAGUCAGUAACCGUAAGGAACUGCCUAGGGUAAAACAAAUAACUAGGGCUAAGUCGUAACAAGGUAACC
rnacentral:rRNA from 1 species